UAGGGAAUCUUCGGCAAUGGACGAAAGUCUGACCGAGCAACGCCGCGUGAGUGAAGAAGGUUUUCGGGUCGUAAAACUCUGUUGGUAGAGAAGAACGUUGGUGAGAGUGGAAAGCUCAUCAAGUGACGGUAACUACCCAGAAAGGGACGGCUAACUACGUGCCAA
rnacentral:rRNA from 1 species